rnacentral:rRNA from 1 species
ACGAACGCUGGCGGCGUGCCUAAUACCUGCAAGUAGAACGCUGAAGGCGGAGCUUGCUUCUCUGGAUGAGUUGCGAACGGGUGAGUAACGCGUAGGUAACCUGCCUGGUAGCGGGGGAUAACUAUUGGAAACGAUAGCUAAUACCGCAUAAGAGUAGAUGUUGCAUGACAUUUGCUUAAAAGGUGCAAUUGCAUCACUACCAGAUGGACCUGCGUUGUAUUAGCUAGUUGGUGGGGUAACGGCUCACCAAGGCGACGAUACAUAGCCGACCUGAGAGGGUGAUCGGCCACACUGGGACUGAGACACGGCCCAGACUCCUACGGGAGGCAGCAGUAGGGAAUCUUCGGCAAUGGACGGAAGUCUGACCGAGCAACGCCGCGUGAGUGAAGAAGGGUUUCGGAUCGUAAAGCUCUGUUGUAAGAGAAGAACGAGUGUGAGAGUGGAAAGUUCACACUGUGACGGUAUCUUACCAGAAAGGGACGGCUAACUACGUG